GAAGGUUCUGGAAGGGCUGUCGGGGAGGGAGACUGCCACCUUCCUACUUCUUAUCACCACCACCAUCCUGGCUUCCCCAGACGGUGACAAGGGCUGGGAAGGGGAAGCGCAUGUUCAGGUCUCCGGGAGGGGCGACCUGAUUAUCAUCUUUGCGGGAGAAGAAAGCACCACGAGCGCCCAGAUGUCUCAGCAGUCAAUGCUUUGCUGUGAUGGCCAGAACCACACCUUGUGAAGAGUGGCAGAGCUGUGAGGAAUGGUCUCUGCAGGCCUGGAAGGGCUGAAACCCCUACGACUCAAGAAGAGGAGGCUGAGAACCUUGAAGCAGACAUGAGUGACACAAAAGUUACUCCCAGGCUGUGGACCAGUCAUCGAGAUGGAGAGGUCCUUCUCCGGAUCUCCAAACACGGGCCAGGCCACGAGACCCCGAUGACCAUCCCUGAACUUUUUCGGGAGUCAGUCAGUCGCUUUGGGGCUUAUCCAGCGCUCGCCUCAAAGAACAGCGAAGAGUGGGAAGUUCUGAAUUUCAACCAGUACUAUGAGGCUUGUCGGAAGGCUGCGAGAGCCCUGAUCAAGCUCGGCUUGGAGCGCUUCCACGGAGUCGGCAUCCUGGGGUUCAACUCUGUCGAGUGGUUCGUUUCUUCCCUUGGUGCCAUCUUAGCAGGGGGCCUUUGUGUUGGCAUUUAUGCCACCAACUCCCCGGAGGCUUGUCAAUACGUCAUCACUCAGGCCAAAGUGAACAUCCUGCUGGUUGAGAACGAUGAGCAGCUACAGAAAAUCCUUUCGAUUCCGCAGAGCAGCCUGGAGACCCUAAAAGCCAUCAUCCAGUACAAGCUGCCAAUGAAGGAGAGCAGCGCUAACAACCUGUACUCUUGGGAUGACUUCAUGGAGCUGGGCAGCAGCAUCCCCGACUCCCAGCUGGACCGCAUCAUGGAGAGCCAGCGGGCCAAUCAGUGCGCGGUGCUCAUCUACACUUCUGGGACGGUGGGCCCUCCCAAGGGCGUCAUGCUGAGCCACGACAAUAUCACGUGGACGGCCGGGGCGGCAGCAAGGGACAACCGCCUGUCUCACGCUGCAGAAAAGCAGGAGGUGGUGGUCAGCUACCUGCCCCUCAGCCACAUUGCAGCUCAGAUGAUGGAUAUCUGGAUUCCCAUGAAGGUUGGGGCAGUCACGUACUUUGCUCAGCCGGACGCGCUCAAGGGCACCUUGGUCAGCACUCUGCAAGAGGUCAAGCCGACAACCUUCCUGGGGGUGCCCCGAGUUUGGGAGAAGAUGCAGGACAAGAUAAAGGAAAGUGGUGCUAAAUCCUCCAGCUUGAGGAAGAAGGUGUUUUCAUGGGCAAGAGCGACUGGCUUAAAGGUCAACAAAAAAAGGAUGCUUGGGCCAUAUGACAUUCCCAUGAGCUACCGCAUGGCCAAGGCCCUCGUGUUCAGCAAAGUCCGGAGUGCCCUUGGCCUCGAUCAUUGCCACUCCUUUAUCAGCGGGGCCGCGCCCCUCAGCCAUGAGACCUCCGAGUUCUUUCUGAGCCUGGACAUACCUAUAGGCGAGAUGUAUGGUAUGAGCGAGAGCUCAGGACCCCACACCACGUCCAACUAUGAUAACUACAGGGUUCUAAGCUGCGGCAAGAUCAUGAGUGGGUGCAAGAACAUGCUGUACCAGCAGAGCAAGGACAGCACAGGGGAGAUCUGCAUGUGGGGCCGGCACGUCUUCAUGGGUUACCUCGAAAAGGAGGAGGCCACCCUGGAGGUGCUCGACGAGGAAGGAUGGCUGCACACCGGGGACCUCGGCCACAUGGACAACGAGGGUUUCCUCUAUAUCACCGGUCGCAUCAAAGAAAUCCUCAUCACGGCUGGCGGCGAGAACGUGGCCCCCAUUCCCAUCGAGAACCUGGUCAAGGAGAAGAUCCCCAUCGUCAGCCACGCCAUGUUGGUGGGGGACAAGGCAAGGUUCUUGAGCAUCCUGCUGACGCUGAAGUGCGAGGUGGACGGGACGAGCGGAGAGCCGCUGGACAGACUGAGCGGGGAGGCGAUCAAGUUCUGCCAGAACCUGGGCAGCCAGGCGUCCACCGUGACCGAGGUCCUGGAGCUGCGCGACCCACUGGUCUACAAGGCCAUCCAGCAAGGGAUCGAUGCCGUGAACCAGGAGGCCGUCUCCAACGCACAGAAGAUUCAGAAGUGGGUCAUCCUGGCCAGGGACUUCUCCAUCAGUGGCGGAGAGCUGGUCCUGCCUCAGGGCCUUUGCACCUGCUGUUCAGGACACCUUGAGGGAAGCCCAAAUCCUGGGUGACUCGGAGCCGAUGGAGCAUCCGGGGCCAUGGAUCAGACCAUUCCAGAGCUCGAAUCUUCACGCCGCCAUGCACUCGCUGGGUGACCUGAGAGUGACUGGCCCUCUGUGUAAAAACACCUGUCUCCUCACCUGUAAGAUUGGGGGGUGCAGUCCCUCUUUCAUUGGAAGCACUGUCCAUAUGGGGCACAGAGCUCAGUGUACUGUCCACCCACCAGCUCACGGAAUCCCUGCCACAGCCCGAGGACAAGGUCCGACGACAAAGAUUAGGCGACACUACAUAAGUGAGAAAUACAAAAGGCAAAUCGACAACUUGUACCACUGACUUCUUUGGCGGAGCCACUCUUGGCUGUCCCGACG